rnacentral:rRNA from 1 species
CCUACGGGAGGCUGCAGUGGGGAAUAUUGGACAAUGGGGGAAACCCUGAUCCAGCGACGCCGCGUGAGUGAAGAAGUAUUUCGGUACGUAAAGCUCUAUCAGCAGGGAAGAAAAUGAUGGUACCUGACUAAGAAGCCCCGGCUAACUACGUGCCAGCAGCCGCGGUAAUACGUAGGGGGCAAGCGUUAUCCGGAUUUACUGGGUGGAAAGGGAGCGUAGACGGCGGCGCAAGUCUGGAGUGAAAUGCCGGGGCCCAACCCCGGAACUGCGGUGGAAACUGUGAGGCUGGAGUGCAGGAGAGGUAAGCGGAAUUCCAGGUGUAGCGGUGAAAUGCGUAGAUAUCAGGAGGAACACCGGCGGCGAAGGCAGCUUACUGGACUGUCACUGACGUUGAGGCUCGAAGGCGUGGGGAGCAAACAGGAUUAGAUACCCGAGUAGUC